UACCAGCACCCCGAGUGGUCGGGACGAUUAUUGGGCCUAAAGCAUCCGUAGCCGGUCCUACAAGUCUUCCGUUAAAUCCACCUGCUUAACAGAUGGGCUGCGGAAGAUACUAUAGGGCUAGGAGGCGGGAGAGGCAAGCGGUACUCAGUGGGUAGGGGUAAAAUGCGUAGAGAUCGGCAGGAACACCCAGGGGGAAACCAGCUGCCUGGGCAAGCGCUGACGCUGAGGUGCGAGAGCGUGGGGAGCGAACCGG
rnacentral:rRNA from 1 species